rnacentral:rRNA from 1 species
UACGUAGGGGGCAAGCGUUAUCCGGAAUCAUUGGGCGUAAAGGGUGCGUAGGCGGCCCUGUGGGUCAGAGGUUAAAGGCUACGGCUCAACCGUAGUAAGCCUUUGAAACUGCAGGGCUUGAGUACAGGAGAGGAGAGUGGAAUUCCUAGUGUAGCGGUGAAAUGCGUAGAUAUUAGGAGGAACACCAGUGGCGAAGGCGACUCUCUGGACUGCAACUGACGCUGAGGCACGAAAGCGUGGGGAGCGAACAGG